ACCAGGAAGGACUGACUUCUAUUGGUCCCAUCUUGAAUCACAUCCAGUUUGGAAAGAGCAGGAAAUGCUAUGUUGCACUCCUCCCCUAUUCCACCCACUAACAGUCACUGUGAUCAAAAACUGCAGGUUCCUAUCACAAAAUGGCAACAACUCUUCUCAUGUGAACAGAAAAGAGGGAAAGAGAACUACUUCCUCAGAAGAAACCAAGUCCUUUUACCAAAAGAAAUGAGAGAAAAGCACGCAUGCAGAGACUGCAGCAGUGACUUAUACUGUGACAUAGUAUGUUUUUGACACAAAAAGUACUUGUCACAAAUGCGGGAUACAAAAACAACUCUCCUAAGUGUUUUAAAGGGAGCCCGGAAAACCUAGCUUUUAUCAGUCAAUAAUACAUCUGACAUAAAUAAUGAUUGAAAACUGACAGCUACAAGAUGUGACUUGAGGUCCUUCAAAUCCCUGAAAAUGAAAAGCUAAACUCAGAUCCUCCCACGUGGAUUAAUUAUAUUUGAAAUUGUUAAUGCCACAAAAGAAGAUUAUAAGAAUAUUUCAAGAGUACCUGGGUGGCUCAGCCAGUUAAACAUCUGACUCUUGAUUUCGGCUCAGGUCAUGAUCUCAAGGUGGUCACUACACUGACUUGGUGAGGAGUUUGAGGCAGUACAGAAACCCCUGUCAUCCAAGACCCGUCAAAGGCAGAACUCCAGCACCAUAGCAAUGCAGCUGAGAGUGGUUGCCUCUGGUCUCCUCAGCUUGCCCCUUCUGGUGCGGAACCUAUACCAGAUGAGACAACUGGGGAGGAGAAGAUUAUGCUCCCAGGAUUCAAGGCCUGCCACACCUGAGACAGUGUUUCUACCCUAUGAAUGGGGGCGAGAUGGGGGUUAGACAUGGAAAAUAGCAGGCACAUGCAACGCUGAUGAUGGACAAGGAAACAACGGAGGCCACAUCAGAAUUCUGUCAUGUUUCAAUAAGGAGCCGUGUUACUGAGAAGAAUGUUACCGAAGCUUUUAUGACAUAGAUUAAUGGUUCACAGAUGUAUGUCAGAAUGUCAUAGAUUAGCAUACAUCUAUAAUAAGUAUGCUACUCUAUCAGAAAAAUACAUAUAUAUUUAAACUUAUCUUUUAGAACUGAGAACCUUUCUGCUUCUAGAUAUUCCAAAAUUCAUGUUUAAAUAUUAAGAUUAAAAUUUUCGAGGGGCGCCUGGGUGGCUCAGUUGGUUAAGUGACUGCCUUCGGCUCAGGUCAUGAUCCUGGAGUCCUGGGAUCGAGUUCCGCAUCGGGCUCCCUGCUCGGCAGGGAGUCUGCUUCUCUCUCUGACCUUCCCCCUCUCAUGCUCUCUC